ACGGGAGGCAGCAGUGGGGAAUAUUGCACAAUGGGGGAAACCCUGAUGCAGCGACGCCGCGUGAAGGAAGAAGUAUCUCGGUAUGUAAACUUCUAUCAGCAGGGAAGAAAAUGACGGUACCUGACUAAGAAGCCCCGGCUAACUACGUGCCAGCAGCCGCGGUAAUACGUAGGGGGCAAGCGUUAUCCGGAUUUACUGGGUGUAAAGGGAGCGUAGACGGAUGGACAAGUCUGAUGUGAAAGGCUGGGGCUCAACCCCGGGACUGCAUUGGAAACUGCCCGUCUUGAGUGCCGGAGAGGUAAGCGGAAUUCCUAGUGUAGCGGUGAAAUGCGUAGAUAUUAGGAGGAACACCAGUGGCGAAGGCGGCUUACUGGACGGUAACUGACGUUGAGGCUCGAAAGCGUGGGGAGCAAACAGGAUUAGAUACCCUGGUAGUCCACGCGGUAAACGAUGAAUGCUAGGUGUCGGGUGACAAAGUCAUUCGGUGCC
rnacentral:rRNA from 1 species